ACUACGGGUGGCAGCAGUGGGGGAUAUUGCACAAUGGGGGGAACCCUGAUGCAGCGACGCCGCGUGAGGGAUGAAGGUCUUCGGAUCGUAAACCUCUGUCAGCAGGGAAGAACGGUCACUGUGCUAAUCAGCAGUGAAUUGACGGUACCUGCACAGGAAGCACCGGCUAACUCCGUGCCAGCAGCCGCGGUAAUACGGAGGGUGCGAUCGUUAAUCGGAAUUACUGGGCGUAAAGCGCUCGUAGGCGGUAUGUCAAGUCAAGGGGGAAAUCCCCGGGCUAAACGUGGGAACUGCCUUGGAAACUGGCAAACUGGAGUGGGUGAGAGGAUAGUGGAAUUCCAGGUGUAGGAGUGAAAUCCGUAGAUAUCUGGAGGAACAUCAGGGGCGAAGGCGACUAUCUGGCACAUAACUGACGCUGAGGAGCGAAAGCGUGGGUAGCAAACAGGAUUAGAUACCCCUGUAGUC
rnacentral:rRNA from 1 species